UCCUUGCCUUGUGCUGGUUUUCAAGUGAAAUGCUUCCAGAUUUUGCUCAUUCAGUAUGAUGUUGGCUGUGGGUUUGUCAUACAUGGCUGUUAUUAUUUUUAGGUAUGUUCCUUCAAUACCUAGUUUACUAGACUUUUAAAAAAUAAAACAGUGUUGGAUUUUAUUGGAAGCCUUUACUCUUACACUUCUAGAGCACUUGGCCAUUACAAACAGCUGUCCCACGCAGUGCCUCACUUUUCUAUCUCAACAUGAAGAAAGGAAACUUCUAUGUAUCAAAUGUCUUCUGCGUGCCAGGCCCCAUGCUGGGUACUUGAUGAUAUUAGUUUCAAACAUAUUUAAG
rnacentral:lncRNA from 10 species